rfam:Actinopolyspora erythraea strain YIM90600 genomic scaffold Scaffold6, whole genome shotgun sequence.
CGAGUCGACCGGGCGGCCGCGGCGGGGUUCGGCCCCGCCGAGGAAAGUCCGGACUCCACAGGGCAGGGUGGUUGCUAACGGCAACCAGGGGUGACCCUCGGGAAAGUGCCACAGAAAGCAAACCGCCCGGCCGUACCGUUCGGCCGGGUAAGGGUGAAAGGGUGGUGUAAGAGACCACCAGCGUCCCCGGUGACGGGGGCGGCUAGGUAAACCCCACCCGGAGCAAGGUCAAGAGGGCACCGGUUCGGUGUCUGCGCAAGUGUUAGAGGGCGGCCCGUCCGAGACUUGCGGGUAGACCGCUGGAGCCUGUCGGUGACGGCAGGCCUAGAUGGAUGGUCGCCACGUGGCGAGGCGUCGAAACCCCGCCACGUACAGGAUCCGGCUUACAGGUCGGCUCGUCCG